AGUGAACGCUGGCGGUAGGCCUAACACAUGCAAGUCGAACGGCAGCACAGUAAGAGCUUGCUCUUACGGGUGGCGAGUGGCGGACGGGUGAGGAAUACAUCGGAAUCUACUUUUUCGUGGGGGAUAACGUAGGGAAACUUACGCUAAUACCGCAUACGACCUACGGGUGAAAGCAGGGGAUCUUCGGACCUUGCGCGAUUGAAUGAGCCGAUGUCGGAUUAGCUAGUUGGCGGGGUAAAGGCCCACCAAGGCGACGAUCCGUAGCUGGUCUGAGAGGAUGAUCAGCCACACUGGAACUGAGACACGGUCCAGACUCCUACGGGAGGCAGCAGUGGGGUAUAUUGGACAAAGGGCGCAAGCCUGAUCCAGCCAUACCGCGUGGGUGAAGAAGGCCUUCGGGUUGUAAAGCCCUUUUGUUGGGAAAGAAAAGCAGCAGGUUAAUACCCCGCUGUUCUGACGGUACCCAAAGAAUAAGCACCGGCUAACUUCGUG
rnacentral:rRNA from 1 species